GGUGCUCUCCACAAUCAAUCAAUAUCAAUUGCUGGCGCAAAUCUACGAGCGAGCUAUGAAAUUUGCGAAUAACGACUCGUUUUUGUGGUAAAUUCGAGAUUUUCGAGAGUUUUUCGGCUGAAAAUCUGGCAACAUUUCCAGGCAACAAUUCGCUCUUUCUGCAAUCUGCUGUGGCCGGUUUUCCCGGGCGAUUCGGGUCUUCGAACAGUCCAUUCUCGCCUCCACAAUCGCCUCAGAAUCUCUGACGUCAUCAGCGUCGUCGACGUCAUCGAUUUCCUCGCAAAAUUCGACGUCAAAAGCUCAAAAUUUGCAUCAAAAUCGUCGGCCGAAAUCGCCGGAUUCGGCAAUGUUUUCAUCGCUAAAACUUACCAAUAACCCGUCCUGCGCACUUUCAGUCAUUUCCGAAUAUAUGAUGAUCUCACAGGUGUUAAUCGAGCGAUUCGGCAAUUAUGAGCCAGGUUAGAGCCCCUGAAAGUGGUUUUUUCGAACUCUCCGUGCUCUCAGCUUUCAAAUGAGCCCCAUAUCGAGUAGCGUUGAUUUUGAAAAAAUCGCGGGUCUCGCCGCGAAAACUUGGAAGCUACAGUAAUCCUCGUGGUGAGACCUGAAAAUUUUCAAAAUCAACUGAAACUAGCCAAUAUGGGGCUCAUUUGAAAGCUCUCAGUGAGCUGAGUACAAAAAUCUUAUUUUCAACUGAAAAUUUCUCCCCAUGCGCCUUUAAGCUACAGUAACCCCGGGGGGAUUUUCGUGGCGGGACCUAAAAAUUUCCAAAAUUAUCGAAAACUAGUAUUUAUGAGACUUAUUUGAAAGCUAUCAGUGUGCUGAGUUUAAAAAUAGCAUUUUUAAUGGAAAAUACGUUACCCUGCGCCUUUAAACUACAGUAACACCGGGGGAUUUCGUGGCGAGACCCAAAAAUUUCCGAAAAUCAACGAAAACUAGUCGAUAUGGGGCGUAUUUUGAAGCUCUGAGUGAGCUGAGCUCAAAAAUAUUAAUCACACCUUGAAAUUCCUCCCCAUGCGCCUUUAAACUACAGUAACCCCGGAGGGAUUUCGUGGCGGGACCCCAAAUUUUUUGGUUUAUUGAAAUCUGCCCAAUUUGGGGCUCAUUUUGAAGCUCUCAGUGUGCUCAGUUCAAAAAUAUUAAUAACAUUGCGAAUUUUCUUCCCAUGCGCCUUUAAACUACAGCAACACAGGGGGAUUUCGUGGUGGGACCCGAAAUUCCUCAAAAUCAACCGAACCUGAGCAAUAUGGGCUCAUUUGAAAGCUCUCAGUGUGCUGAGCUCAAAAAUAUUCUAUUCGAGUCAAAUACUAACCCGUGCGUCUUUAAACUACAGUAACUCCCCGGGGGAUUUCGUGGCGAGACCCAAAAAAUUCCAAAAUCAACGAAAACUAGCCGAUAUGGGGGGCUUAUUUGAAAGCUCUCAGCAGCCCAAAUCUGAAAAACCGAAUACAAAAUUUCCAGCAAUCGAAUACGCGUCAAAGGCCGUGGAUUUGUGCUCCAAAGAGGGACAAUUGUCGUUUUUGAAGGCCCGAUGCCAAUUGUUGCAUGCAAUUGCUUAUGGGUAAGAAUAGGCUGAAAAUGAGCGAUUUUUUCGAGUUUUUCAUGAAAAAAUAGGCUAAAAAUAUGCAUUUUCGGCCAAAAAACCGGCAAAAAUCGCGUUUUUUUUUCAGAUUCCGAGCCUCCGAAGAGCCAUCAUGGGACCUGAAGAAGGCUCAACUCGCGAAAACGGUCCAAUUAAUUGAAGAAUGUGUAUCGAUUGAUGCUCACGACUAUCUUUCACUAUAUUAUGCAGCAUAUUUUCAUGCAAUUUCCCGUGAUCUCGAAUCCGCGAAAGAUCGGUGCUCGCGGAGCCUGGCUCUUAAUGGAGAUCAGCCUGCGGCCAUUAUGCUCUUGGCGUUGAUUUUUACGGCUUACGGAGACCUUAAAGGAGCUCUGGAUCUUGUUAUCAACUCGCUCGCCGAGUUUGAGCAUAACUAUGGGCUCAUGGUGCUCAGGCUUCAUAUUGAGACGAAAUUCGGCAGAAUUGAAG
rnacentral:sRNA from 1 species